GUCGAGGGGUAGAGUUAGCUUGCUAACUUGAGACCGGCGCACGGGUGCGUAACGCGUAUGCAAUCUACCUUUCACAAAGGGAUAGCCCAGAGAAAUUUGGAUUAAUACCUUAUAGUAUAUAUGAAUGGCAUCAUUUAUAUAUUAAAGAUUUAUCGGUGAAAGAUGAGCAUGCGUCCCAUUAGCUAGUUGGUAAGGUAACGGCUUACCAAGGCAACGAUGGGUAGGGGUCCUGAGGGGAGAUCCCCCACACUGGUACUGAGACACGGACCAGACUCCUACGGGAGGCAGCAGUGAGGAAUAUUGGACAAUGGGCGCAAGCCUGAUCCAGCCAUGCCGCGUGCAGGAUGACGGUCCUAUGGAUUGUAAACUGCUUUUAUACGAGAAGAAACCCUCCGACGUGUCGGAGCUUGACGGUAUCGUAAGAAUAAGGAUCGGCUAACUCCGUGCCAGCAGCCGCGGUAAUACGGAGGAUCCAAGCGUUAUCCGGAAUCAUUGGGUUUAAAGGGUCCGUAGGCGGUCAGAUAAGUCAGUGGUGAAAGCCCAUCGCUCAACGGUGGAACGGCCAUUGAUACUGUCUGACUUGAAUUAUUAGGAAGUAACUAGAAUAUGUAGUGUAGCGGUGAAAUGCUUAGAGAUUACAUGGAAUACCAAUUGCGAAGGCAGGUUACUACUAAUGGAUUGACGCUGAUGGACGAAAGCGUGGGUAGCG
rnacentral:rRNA from 1 species